CCUACGGGAGGCAGCAGUGAGGAAUAUUGGUCAAUGGACGAGAGUCUGAACCAGCCAAGUAGCGUGAAGGAUGACUGCCCUAUGGGUUGUAAACUUCUUUUAUAAAGGAAUAAAACGAGGCACGUGUGCCUUUUUGCAUGUACUUUAUGAAUAAGGAUCGGCUAACUCCGUGCCAGCAGCCGCGGUAAUACGGAGGAUCCGAGCGUUAUCCGGAUUUAUUGGGUUUAAAGGGAGCGUAGAUGGGUUGUUAAGUCAGUUGUGAAAGUUUGCGGCUCAACCGUAAAAUUGCAAUUGAUACUGGCAGUCUUGAGUACAGUUGAGGUAGGCAGAAUUCGUGGUGUAGCGGUGAAAUGCUUAGAGAUCACGAAGAACCCCGAUUGCGAAGGCAGCUUACUAAACUGUGACUGACAUUGAUGCUCGAAAGUGUGGGUAGCAAACAGGAUUAGAUACCCUUGUAGUC
rnacentral:rRNA from 1 species